UUUUUGGGUUUCUUUUAGGUUUUUAAGGUGAACCGUCAUGGCGAAGGAGACCGCUUUCAACCUUUCAAAGAACUUCCCAACCGUCGCUUGCUAUGGCAUGGCUCCCGCACUACAAAUUAUGCUGGCAUCUUGUCUCAGGGUCUUCGGAUUGCGCCGCCCGAGGCUCCAGUGACGGGUUACAUGUUUGGUAAAGGUGUCUAUUUUGCAGAUAUGGUGUCGAAGGUAAGCAUAGCAGUAUAAAUGUGAUUUUUUUUUGCAUGGGAAGGAUAGAACCUUGUACCUAAUCCUGUCGGUGAGGUAUUGUGCAGU